AAGUCCCCUGCCCUUUGUACACACCGCCCGUCGCUACUACCGAUUGAAUGGCUUAGUGAGGCUUCCGGAUUGGUUUAGAGAAGGGGGCAACUCCAUCUUGGAACCGAGAAGCUAGUCAAACUUGGUCAUUUAGAGGAAGUAAAAGUCGUAACAAGGUUUCCGUAGGUGAACCUGCGGAAGGAUCAUUACAGAAUGAAAAGUGCUUAACUGCAUUUUUUCUUACACAUGUGUUUUUCUUUUUUUGAAAACUUUGCUUUGGUAGGCCUUCUAUAUGGGGCCUGCCAGAGAUUAAACUCAACCAAAUUUUAUUUAAUGUCAACCGAUUAUUUAAUAGUCAAAACUUUCAACAACGGAUCUCUUGGUUCUCGCAUCGAUGAAGAACGCAGCGAAAUGCGAUAAGUAAUAUGAAUUGCAGAUAUUCGUGAAUCAUCGAAUCUUUGAACGCACAUUGCGCCCUUUGGUAUUCCAAAGGGCAUGCCUGUUUGAGCGUCAUUUCUCCCUCAAACCCUCGGGUUUGGUGUUGAGCGAUACGCUGGGUUUGCUUGAAAGAAAGGCGGAGUAUAAACUAAUGGAUAGGUUUUUUCCACUCAUUGGUACAAACUCCAAAACUUCUUCCAAAUUCGACCUCAAAUCAGGUAGGACUACCCGCUGAACUUAAGCAUAUCAAUAAGCGGAGGAAAAGAAACCAACAGGGAUUGCCUUAGUAGCGGCGAGUGAAGCGGCAAAAGCUCAAAUUUGAAAUCUGGCACUUUCAGUGUCCGAGUUGUAAUUUGAAGAAGGUAUCUUUGGGUCUGGCUCUUGUCUAUGUUUCUUGGAACAGAACGUCACAGAGGGUGAGAAUCCCGUGCGAUGAGAUGUCCCAGACCUAUGUAAAGUUCCUUCGAAGAGUCGAGUUGUUUGGGAAUGC
rnacentral:rRNA from 1 species